rnacentral:rRNA from 1 species
UCUUGCGCAAUGGGCGAAAGCCUGACGCAGCCAUGCCGCGUGUAUGAUGAAGGUCUUAGGAUUGUAAAAUACUUUCACCGGUGAAGAUAAUGACUGUAGCCGGAGAAGAAGCCCCGGCUAACUUCGUGCCAGCAGCCGCGGUAAUACGAAGGGGGCUAGCGUUGCUCGGAAUUACUGGGCGUAAAGGGAGCGUAGGCGGACAUUUAAGUCAGAGGUGAAAUCCCGGAGCUUAACUUCGGAACUGCCUUUGAUACUGGGUGUCUUGAGUGUGAGAGAGGUAUGUGGAACUCCGAGUGUAGAGGUGAAAUUCGUAGAUAUUCGGAAGAACACCAGUGGCGAAGGCGACAUACUGGCUCAUUACUGACGCUGAGCUCGAA